rnacentral:rRNA from 1 species
GAUGAACGCUGGCGGCGUGCUUAACACAUGCAAGUCGAACGGUAAGGCCCUCCGGGGUACACGAGUGGCGAACGGGUGAGUAACACGUGGGUGAUCUGCCCUGCACUUCGGGAUAAGCCUGGGAAACUGGGUCUAAUACCGGAUAGGACCACUGCCUGCAUGGGUGGUGGUGGAAAGCUUUUGCGGUGCGGGAUGGACUCGCGGCCUAUCAGCUAUUUGGUGAGGUAACGGCUCACCAAGGCGACGACGGGUAGCCGGCCGGGGAGGGUGACCGGCCACACUGGGACUGAGACACGGCCCAGGCUCCUACGGGAGGCAGCAGUGGGGAAUAUUGCACAAUGGGCGGAAGCCUGAUGCAGCAACGCCGCGUGAGGGAUGACGGCCUUCGGGUUGUAAACCUCUUUUAGCAGGGAAGAAGCGAGAGUGACGGUACCUGCAGAAAAAGCACCGGCUAACUACGUGCCAGCCGCCGCCGUAA